CCCUUAGAUGUUCUGGGCCGCACGCGCGCUACGCUGAUGCAUUCAACGAGUUUUUCCUUGGCCGAGAGGCCUGGGCAAUCUUUUAAACGUGCAUCGUGAUAGGGAUAGAUUAUUGCAAUUAUUAAUCUUGAACGAGGAAUUCCUAGUAAACGCAGAUCAUCAAUCUGCAUUGAUUACGUCCCUGCCCUUUGUACACACCGCCCGUCGCACCUACCGAUUGAAUGGUCCGGUGAAGCCUCGGGAUUGUGGCGAGUUCCCUUUAUUGGGAGUUUGUCGCGAGAACUUGUCUAAACCUUAUCAUUUAGAGGAAGGUGAAGUCGUAACA
rnacentral:rRNA from 1 species